rnacentral:lncRNA from 1 species
GAAUACCAGGAAGGAGCAUAUGACCGAAAAUCCUUUGUUUGCCGUGCGGAGGAUAUGACGUAAUGAAAGUGAACCAAAUAUCGAUAGAAUCGAAUUUAUGACGUCAUUGUAGUUGAAUUCAAUAGGCGUCACAUGUGUAACUAUGAAACUUGAAUAGAUUGAGAAUUAAAGAAAAAAAAUAAAAAAUGGUCAGUUGUUGCCUUUGUGGAUAUUCUAAAACAAAAGGACGCAUAGAAACAUUUCAUACUUUUCCACAACAUCCAUUACAAAGACAAAAAUGGAUUAAUUUUAUAAGUAGGUCAAACUGGCAGCCAUUAAAAAACAGCAGAUUAUGUUAUAUUCUAAGCAUUUUACAUCUGACUGUUUUGAUAGAACAGGAAAAAUUACUCGAUUAAAGAGUAUGACUGUUCCUACCAUUAAAUCCGCAAAUACACAACAUGUACUAUUAGAGCAAAUGUCAUCAAAUCACAAUAACCAAAAAGUAACACAAGAAGCACAUUCAGAGCUUUUUAUUAAAACUUUUACACCACAAUGAGCACUAUUAAUGUGGACGAUAACGAAAGGUCAUCAACUUCUACUCAAAUGUUACCUGCACUGCAAGAAGAUAACUUAAUAAGUACACCUUUACAAGUGAAAGAAAGGAAUGAAUUUUCUUAUUAUUCAGCACAAGAUGAUACUCCAAGAAAAAGUUAUCUUAAAAGGAAAAUUAUGGAAAUGGUUACAAAAGAAAAAUUAUACAUGAAACGUAUAAUACAAUUACAAAAAGUGACAUAUCGACAGAAACAUCGAAUUAAAAAUUUGACAUCGGUUUUAGAAAAAUUACAGAAUAACGAUUCUUCCCAAAUUAAACAAUGUGCAACUUAAUAGGACAAAAUAUUGAUAGAAAUAUCAAGUAUCAAUUUUAUCAAGGAAAAGGUGUUUCAUAGUGGUUUCUUCUACUUCAAUGUUUAA